UACAGAGGGGGCAAGCGUUAUUCGGAAUUAUUGGGCGUAACGGGCGCGUAGGCGGCUUGGCAAGUGGAAGGUGAAAUCCCUCGGCUUAACCGAGGAACUGCCCUCCAAACUGCUUUGCUUGAGGCCGGGAGAGGUGAGUGGAAUUCCCAGUGUAGCGGUGAAAUGCGUAGAUAUUGGGAGGAACACCAGUGGCGAAGGCGGCUCACUGGACCGGUUCUGACGCUGAUGCGCGAAAGCGUGGGGAGCAAACGGG
rnacentral:rRNA from 1 species